AGGUUAAGGGUCAAAGGGUCGAAAGCGCGGUCAGGCUUGCAUGAUAAGGCUUUUGAACUUGUGACCCGCUAAACAUGAGGAAGUAGCGAUUUGCGUAGCAAAUCAGCGGGAUUCCGAAAGUUUACAGAAUUGCGUGAGCAGCUUGCUGCGAAGCAAUUCGUUGACACA
rnacentral:sRNA from 10 species